AACGAACGCUGGCGGCAGGCCUAACACAUGCAAGUCGAGCGAACCCUUCGGGGUUAGCGGCGGACGGGUUAGUAACGCGUGGGAAUAUACCCUUUGGUACGGAAUAGCCUCGGGAAACUGAGAGUAAUACCGUAUGUGCCCUUCGGGGGAAAGAUUUAUCGCCAAAGGAUUAGCCCGCGUUGGAUUAAAUAGUUGGUGGGGUAAUGGCCUACCAAGUCUACGAUCCAUAGCUGGUUUGAGAGGAUGAUCAGCAACACUGGGACUGAGACACGGCCCAGACUCCUACGGGAGGCAGCAGUGGGGAAUCUUAGACAAUGGGCGCAAGCCUGAUCUAGCCAUGCCGCGUGGACGAUGAAGGCCUUAGGGUUGUAAAGUCCUUUCAGAUGGGAAGAUAAUGACGGUACCAUCAGAAGAAGCCCCGGCUAACUCCGUGCCAGCAGCCGCGGUAAGUAGACGUCU
rnacentral:rRNA from 1 species